UGGCCUCUCAGAGUGCUGAGAUUACAGGCUGUAGUAAGAGCUGAGGUGGAUGAAGACAGGUCCUCUAGAGCAACGAUCCCAAUGAUCCUGACCAAGCAUCAGAACACCGGGCAGGUCUUUAACCGGAGGGCUGCCUCCACUGUUGAUGUAGUUCAUCCAGCAGGUCUGGGCGGUGCCGAAAAUCUGCAUCUCUGACAGAUUCCCAGCUGAUGCUGACACUGCUGCUUUAGGGACCUUGGCAGGGCUCCUCAGUGAGUCACUGAAAGAAACAGCCUCUCCUUACCUCUGGGACUUUCACAGCAGAUUAGAAAUUCCACAGUCUGGAAGCUCUGAGCCUAAGAAGAAACAACUCGGGGAAACACCAUGCCUACAAAUCAGGCUCAGCAUUGGGGCUGCAGACUUUCAAGUAUGCCAGGUGAUUCUGGUGCCCUGGUCCUGGAACCAUACUUUGAGAACGCCUUAGGUGGUCCCUCGGGAGUCCUGUUGACAAAUACAAUCUCCUCUUCCUCCUCCCAGUUGUUCCCUUGGCCACGUUACCAGCUUCCAAGCACACUUUCACUUUGAAGGGAUAUUUGGUGGAAUUCUCCCAACUCUUUCUUUUCUCCUUCUAGACCCAUUUUCAUCUUCUGAAAUUGUCUGAGUAACUAGCAUAAGAUCAUAUGCUCUAAAGGAUCAUAUUUCCUGCCCCAAAAUGCGGGUCACUGCUGGGCAUCGUGGCACAGGCUAUAAUACCAGCUCUUAGGAGGCAGAGGCAGGAGGAUUGCCAUGCU